CCCAGUUCCAGCUGGCCAGGCAUCGAGGGAGGAGCGUCCUUGCGAGACUCGUCGGGCACCCCACGACCGUGGUCGAGGCGUCGGCAGGGACGCUAGUCUGCGCCUCGGCACUGCUACCGGCUGGGGCGGGCGGCGUCUCCUUGGGCUACCUGGUUGUUGACGAACUUCCGAACCAACGCGUCUCGCCGCGUCGACGGCUGGAGUCCGGGGCAAUGGGACAUUUGCUGCGUAAGCUGACAACGUACUGAGAAAAGUGAUGCCCUUCAGCGAAGUGGUGUUCUCAGCUGGGGACAUACACUAGGGACAUUCCGAAUCCGCUUGGACCGCUUUACAACGUGCAGGAACGGCUACGCUGUGACGCCGCUGCAGAUAGCAGCGAGCAGUGGACGCUUUUGAACAGGACAUUUACUGCGUCAGUUGACAACGUACCGAGAAAAGUGAAACCGUUCAGCGAGGUGAUGUUCUCAGCUGGUGACAUACACUAAGGACAUUCCGAAUCCUUUUGGACCGCUUCACAACGUGCAGGAACGGCUACGCUGUGACGCCGUUGCAGAUAGCAGCGAGCAAUGGACGCUUUUGGACAGGACAUCUGCUGCGUCAGUUGACAACGUACUGAGAGAAGUGAAACCCUUCAGCGAGGUGAUGUUCUCAGCUGGGGACAUACUCUAGGGACAUUCCGAAUCCGCUUGGACCGCUUUACAACGUGCAGGAACGGCUACGCUGUGACGCCGUUGCAGAUAGCAGCGAGCAGUGGACGCUUUUGGACAGGUUAUAUGCUGCGUCCGUUGACAACGUGCUGAGAGAAGGGAAACCGUUCAGCGAGGUGUUCUCAGCUGGAGACAUACACUAGGGACAUUCCGAAUCCUUUUGGACCGCUUCACAACGUGCAGGAACGGCUACGCUGUGACGCCGCUGCAGAUAGCAGCGAGAAGUGGAUGCCCUUGGACAGGUUAUUUGCUGGGUCACUCUACAACGUGCAGCAACGGCGGCGUUGCAACGAUGGCCACGACGCCACCGCGUGACGGACAACCAGCCGCUAGAGCCCAUGCUGCUGCGGGAUGCUUGAGUCCACCAUUUGACGUUCAUGAAGGCCCUCCCGCUAAAAAGCGAACCGGACCUUUGUGGGGGUCGCUAAACAACGUGCAUGCGAUGGUACGCUGUAACGACGGUGACGGCGACUCCGGUGCAACGUCGACGUUCUCGGAAAGUGUGAUGUUGAGCCACUCGACAACGUGCAGAAAAAAGUCGGCGACAAGGUUCUCCGCAUUGACAUUGGUGGUCGCUGGACAACGUGUAGCACAAGGACAGGCAUAAUCACGACAGCCAGGAAGUUUCCAUCGUCAUCAUAAGUCCGCCCCAUGACGUUGCAGCUUCCGUGGGCUCCACGGUGUCCACUAUGCCUCGGAUUAUCAUUUCUAAUGGAACAGGACCCUUGUGGGUGACUCUACAACGUGCAGGGAAAGCUACGCUGUCAUGAAGAUGGAAACCAGUUCAGGCACUAGAAGUUUUCGGAGGGUUAUAAAGAGGUGUUCUUCCUGGAACCAGCAACCUGAGUCUACAAUGUGACGUUCGUGAAAGCCUUCCAACACUGUCUUUGGAGUAGCAGAAGGUUGUCAGCUGAGCUACUCUGCAAUGUCGAAAGGGGUUUGCCACGGCACAGACAGCAUUGUUUGGCUCCCGAUGCUCUUGAGCCGUUCAGUAACGUGCCGACGCCAUAACAGAGGCAGUAGAAGCGCAGACACUGUUGUUGAGUCCCGCCCCUGGCUGCCGCAACGCGAAAGAAUAGGAACAACUCGGCAGGCUUCAACGUGAGCCACAACCGCGAGCUGCUGCUGCUCUUGACCGAGGACGCUCUAUUGGCUGAUGGGCGAUGGUUGGGUCACUCGACAACGUGCAGAAACUCACAACGACAACGCCGGGACUUACCAAGCCGCUCGACAGCUUUAAAAAACGAGUCGGAUCUUUGCUGGGCCGCUUUACAACGUGCUUCCGCCAACAAUGCAAGUCACAGCUUGCGCCAAAGCGUGGGGACGUUGUGGAAAGGGUUCAUCGUGUCCCGUGUGGGCCGCUCUACAACGUGCAGGGAAAGCCACGCUGCGACGAUGGCGCAGACACCGGCUUGAAGUCGAAGCUUUUGGAGAGCUUGAGUCUGCCAUGCGACGUUCGUGGAGGCCCUCCUGCAUGUUGACCCCCCAGAAGAAUCUUGGUCGCGGCCUUUUGGGAGGGGUUGUCCAUGAUACACGUGGGCCGUCACCAUGACAACGCUGUGGAACAGCACUAUGGGACUGCCGGAAUGCAUCCUGCGUCGGCUGCCGGGUGAAGAGCGCCAGGCCUGCACCGGACCCCACUUUGAGUCGCUUCACAACGUGCCCUAAAGGACGGCGGAGGUGCAGCACCCCAUGAACAGCUCACAGUAGCAAAGGAAAGUGUGCCCCGCCACGUCUGGGUCGUCUCCAUGACAGCGCUGUUUGCCGUCUACGAACUGCGCCGUGCUCGGACUCCUCGGAUCAUUGCUGGGCCUCUUAACAACGUGCAGAAGUAACGAUGGUGACGGUGCAGACAACGGUGGGCCAUUUACGUGUGCUUAAAAGGAUCCUUGUUGGGCCGCUGUACAACGUGCACGAGCGUCUUCGCUGUAACGACGGUGACGCCGACACCGAUGCGCAGGGAACGUUCUAGGAGAGCACCUUUUCUGGGCCGCUUCACAACGUGCGCAACAAUGCGACCAAAGUGACCUUAUACCCUCAGCGAGGGAAUGUUUCUCGACAAAAGAAGCCGUUGGGCGGACAGUGGGGAUCCCUGUUGGGUCGCUUGACAACGUGCCAGAAUGCGCAGAGUAGAGCACCACAACGAAGCUGACAGUAAAACCGAAAGGAUGACUGUUGGGUCGCUCAACAACGUGCAGAGAGCGGGAAAGCCGCGUAGAUGCCACUCGCGGGACUCCGCCCCAUGACGUUCCAGUUUUUCGAGGAGUCCGAAGGGAUGUUGCCCUUCCUGCUCCGCUUCCAAAUGAAGGCUCCUGUGUUACUCGGGACGAAGCAAAGCAGUUAGCGUCGGAUGUAUGCGUUUGGCUGGCCAGCAUAUAUGGUCGGGACCGGACAAAAUUUUCACGGGACAUUGUGAGCCGCUUGACAACGUGCACAAGUGUGGACGGUGAUGGCGCCGACACUGGCGCACAGUCGACGCACCUAAAAAGGAUCCUUGAUGGGCCGCUUGACAACGUGCAGCAGUGCGGUCCACCAGACGCAUUGUCCGAAUAAGCAGAAGCUCCGCGACAACCAGGUUUAUGCUCUCUGCACGAGUCCGCCCACCGACGCUCAGGCAUCUGCAUCAUUGCUCUCCAGCUUUGCCAAGCAAUUACUUGCUUGGCAAAGGUAGGCCAUUUUGCUGGGUCGCUUGACAGCGUGCUGGAGACUGCGCAGGAAGCCCUCCACGAGGACGUGUCGUGCAAAACACCAUGUGUUGCACAUUGAAGGUGUUGCACAUUGCAGCUUGGGCCUGCCUCAUGACGUUAAGGGGGCGUGCCAGUCCUCCGGAAGAAGUCAUUAGCCUCUUCCUGGCAUCCCCCACGUAAUCCACCAGGCUUGGGCUACUUGACGACGUGCAGGUGGCAUUGAAACUUCCUCGUCGAGAGGAUGUUCUCGGCAAGGAGGACAGCUGGACCAUGUCGAUCCAUGCUGGGGCCUCUUAACAAUAUAUGCUGGAAUGUCCGUGGCGACAGCGCAGACGCCACUAGCGGCCAGUCAACGUUCUUAAAAAGCUUGCGCCUGGUUCCUGACGUUUCCUGCGGACCUCUUCUCUUGCGAGCGGGACCAUUAUUGGACAAAGCCUGGCUCAGGCACGCUAAUCAUCUCUACUAAACGGCAUUGUCGACAACAGCCGCCGAAACAGUGGCUUGUGGGGCCGGCCAUCGUGAAGCGCUGUCAUCGGAGACGGAGGCAACGGCUUUAGGCUGAGGCAAGCAGUGGGAGCUGCAAAGCGUCACCAAAUUAGGGGCCCCCGUGGGGGCGCCGCUAAAGGCUUCUGAUCUCCGUAGCCCUGCCCGACAAACCACAUACCUUAUCCAAGACAGCCAUCCCUUACACAAAUAAAUGCUUCACUCAUUCA